rnacentral:rRNA from 1 species
AGCUUGAAAGAUGGCUUCGGCUAUCACUUUUGGAUGGUCCCGCGGCGUAUUAGCUAGAUGGUGGGGUAACGGCUCACCAUGGCAAUGAUACGUAGCCGACCUGAGAGGGUAAUCGGCCACAUUGGGAACUGAGACACGGCCCAAACUCCUACGGGAGGCAGCAGUAGGGAAUCUUCCACAAUGGACGAAAGUCUGAUGGAGCAACGCCGCGUGAGUGAAGAAGGGUUUCGGCUCGUAAAACUCUGUUGUUAAAGAAGAACAUAUCUGAGAGUAACUGUUCAGGUAUUGACGGUAUUUAACCAGAAAGCCACGGCUAACUACGUGCCAGCAGCCGCGGUAAUACGUAGGUGGCAAGCGUUGUCCGGAUUUAUUGGGCGUAAAGCGAGCGCAGGCGGUUUUUUAAGUCUGAUGUGAAAGCCUUCGGCUCAACCGAAGAAGUGCAUCGGAAACUGGGAAACUUGAGUGCAGAAGAGGACAGUGGAACUCCAUGUGUAGCGGUGAAAUGCGUAGAUAUAUGGAAGAACACCAGUGGCGAAAGCGGCUGUCUGGUCUGUAACUGACGCUG